ensembl:lncRNA
UCAAAUUCCAGAAGUUCUCUUUUUGUUCUCUAACAUAUUUUCUCCUAAAAAAAAUAGCAUCCAGUUUCAUGUCAUGGUUGCAGUGUCUGAGGAUAUUAAUAACUUUUUUUUUUGAUGUUUCUUCCAGCUUGGUCUCAAUUAUUUCAACUUUGUUUUUUCCGUCUUGUUUUGGUCUCUGCUUUUUAUGUUAGACAUUUUGCUCAUAUUUCCAGUAAUCUUUGGUUGUCUACUUACGUUUAAGAUGGGGAGCAAUGGAGCUGAUGGGGUCUCUGAGCCCUUGCUGACUGUGAACUUCAAUGGACAGUGAUCCAGCAGGGCCUAUUUUUGGAGGCAUCCCUGCCGUUGGUCAGAGUUUCUGGAGAGUAUUCUUCCCAAUUCCUGCCUGAAGGAUUAAAGUUGGCCUACCAGUGCUUAGGAGCUACAAAGGGAAAAGAGCUGGACCGUUUCACCAUUCAGCCCUCCCCUCUCACCCUCCACCUCUAGAAGUACCUGGUGCCAUCAAUUCCUGAGCCUUUUGAAGAUUCUGUGCUGUACAUCUGGGUGGCUCUUGGCUUUCCUCACUGUCUGGUUAGUAUUUGACUUUCUCAGGGAGGCUGAGAUAAGUACUACUAUCUCGUCUGCUUUCCAGUUACUGCAAUUUGUUGCUUUCCACUAUUCUUCUCAUGUUCCUGUUCUUCUAGAUUUAGAGCUUAAAAAUUCCUUUUCCUGUAGUUUUUGUGGAGACUCAGGAGGGAAUGAAAUCAGGUAUGUUUGUGCAAUAUGCCAUCUUUAGGAGACACAGGACGUUUCAGAUAAAAAGAUCCUCAGAACACACUUUUCUUGCCCUGUCUCUGCCCAUAGCCAGAUGUCCUGCUCCCUUCCCUUCUCUAGGCCUCUGAGUAUCUUCUUUUAACCUUCUCUUUGUUCAGAUGAAAUGAUUAACACUGGGGAACUCUGUGCGGUUCUCACAAACCCCUGCUGAUAUGGGUUGUGGCCCUGGAUGGGAACCAAGACCAUGGAGGCUGGGGGAGGAAGGGAAGGGCCAUGUGAGGGGUUUUUAAAAUGUGGGAAAAAGAGAAGACAGCAGGAACUGUCUGUGCCUGAGUGUUGAAGUUGUCCUGGCGUGCUAAAGCCGGUGGUACGAUGUCAGCACAUGACGAGGAAAGCUUUCUAAAUAAGGCCUCCUAAUGAGGCUAAGUUCAGUGGUGGCCAAGCUGAAAGACCUGGGGCUCAGCAAGGCCAGCCCCUCCAUGUCCUGAUGGGGAGACUGGGGCCUGCAGGGGGCAGCAUGUUCCUCCAAUGCACCUGACAAUGCUAAGGGGCUGUGUGGGUGGAGACCUCCAGGAAGCUGACCAUGAGACAAUGAUAGGAUUGCAUGAGGUUUAUUGGGGGACAACGUCUGUGACAGAUAAAACCAUGAGGAAGCAGGAUUGGGCAGUGAAAAUCUUCACAAGUAGAUCUGACAAAGUUUCUGUCAGCCCAACCAAGAGCUCCAGAGCAAAGAUGGCUUCUUAGAGGAGUUGUGUUGGACAGACGUGGCCAGGCCAUAGUACCCCCACAUUGCUCAGUCAUUGGCUGUUGGGGGAGAGUGUUGCCUCAGAUCAAAAGUGAGAUGGAUCCUAAAAGCACCAACAGCUGGAAGCUGCCAGGGGCAGCACUAUUUGCAGCAGAAUGGUGAGCUCUUUCUUGAAGGGAGAACCAGGAUACAUCUCCAUGGCUCAUGGGCGUGGGGGAGAGAAGAGGCACCAGGAGCUAGCCUCACAAUCCUCACCUCCCUGAUUACCUGAGCAGGAGGCAGACUUCCCAAAGCCCUGCAUGUUCCUUUUCAGGACUGAGACAGCAUCAUGCAAAGGCUUAAGGACCUUUCAACAUGGUGAGGGGGAUAUUCCUGCUUAUCUGAUUGAUGAUCCUACUUCACAUUGCUGGUAUUUCCCCUCAGACAGACCAUUGCCCAAGUUCAAGACAGCUUUCAUGGAGGUCUUGGAAAUACUAGCCAAGAAAAGAUUUUCUAGCAGGCCUGCCAAGGAAAUGAGGCAGGGUCUGGGAGGGAAAGGGCCUCAAGGGAUAAAUGAUCCUUGUAAUAAUUUCCAGUGGCAAAACGUACUGUGUGCCAGGAAGCUUACAUCUAUAUAUAUCUCUCUAUAUCUAUGUCUAUCUGUCUAUUUAUAUCUCUACCUGUCAUCUCCAUUUUACAUAUAUAUCAUCUCCAC